rnacentral:rRNA from 1 species
GUGGAAUGAGCGGCGGACGGGUGAGUAACACGUGGGCAACCUGCCUGUAAGACCGGAAUAACCCCGGGAAACCGGGGCUAAUGCCGGGUAACACCUUCUCUCGCAUGAGAGGAGGUUGAAAGAUGGCUUCUCGCUAUCGCUUACAGAUGGGCCCGCGGCGCAUUAGCUAGUUGGUGAGGUAACAGCUCACCAAGGCGACGAUGCGUAGCCGACCUGAGAGGGUGAUCGGCCACACUGGGACUGAGACACGGCCCAGACUCCUACGGGAGGCAGCAGUAGGGAAUCUUCCGCAAUGGACGAAAGUCUGACGGAGCAACGCCGCGUGAACGAUGAAGGUCUUCGGAUCGUAAAGUUCUGUUGUUAGGGAAGAACAAGUGCCGUGCGAAUAGAGCGGCACCUUGACGGUACCUAACGAGGAAGCCCCGGCUAACUACGUGCCAGCAGCCGCGGUAAUACGUAGGGGGCAAGCGUUGUCCGGAAUUAUUGGGCGUAAAGCGCGCGCAGGCGGUUCCUUAAGUCUGAUG